UCGUCUUUCGACAUCAUUUGCAGCAAAGCAAGCAGAUAUGUGGUCAAUUUUUUUUGUAAUCCACCGAUGAGUACAUCAGCACGCACGCUAUCGGCCCCGAUCUACUAACGGGAGAAAUGCUUAUGGUAGAAGUUACGGCCUCCAAGAUUUGAGUGCAAGAGCUUAGGCGCGCGGCCCAUUUUUGGAGGCUGGAUGGCUACAAGCUGCUGACGGAUUUAUUGCGCAGUUUUCGCGUUUCUGUUAUGCACUGUGAUGGUGCUUUUUGACACUCGGGAAUAUGUAAUGGAGGUUCUUUGGAUCGAGCGCACCUUGCGUUCGCUGUCUUAGCCACUCGGCGAGCGCGGAACCAGGGAAAAUUUGAGUGGCUCGUGGGACCCCAAGGAGGAGCCUGCGGAACCCACUUUGAGAACCCAUGCUUUAAAGUUUAAAGGGUUGUAAACAGCUGCACUGAUUUUUUUCUCACGCAAGGAAGUGGGGUUUGCAGUUCUGUGAGUGUCUCUAAUUGUGAUAGCUUAAACAAAAAGAGUCGCUUCUGUGCUUAGUGAUUGAUAUUUGAAGUACAUAGUAUUUAUUUUGUCUUUCCACUGUGUCAGAGCUUUUGGUGUCGUAGGUGUCAUUUUAUUGAAGUACAAGGCUGUACAUGAAAUAAUAGUUAAUUCUGACCUCUUCACUUGCUUUGUUGACAUAUUUACACGUGUGACACCUAUUGUUUGCUUUUUGACAAGACUGCUUAAAGGGAAGCUGAAGAGAUUUUAGAAUUGGAAGAUUUACAGUGGUUUAGAAGGCUGGCACAGUAUAAUUAAACUCCUGAAAUUAUUUUCUUGAUUGUGCGCAUCUCGCGAUUUCCCGCCUUGCGUGCCGAGCACAACAGCAAAAGACUAAGCGCGAGGAUGACAUCAACAGAGGGGUCACGUGAGCGCUCUAUUCGAACUGCGCCUUGUCGAUACCGAAAAUGAUGUCACGAUCGUCUUCACCAUCGCUCUAGAGCCCCUUGACCGACCCGUGUCAUCUCCUGCUGAUGCUGCCACUAGAUUUUGCUAAAUUAAUGCAAUUUGCGUUACUUGUGGCUUGUUAAACUAUGAGUUUUGUAUUCAGGUGGUGAGAAAAUAACUCGCUGAAAAGUAACUUUUUUUUUUUUUAAGUGUUUCAGGUUUCCUUUAAGGGGGAGGCUGCAGAUGAUUUUUUUUUUUCAUGGUGGACUUAAAUUGAAUGUAGCUUUCAUUUUUUUUUCUGUUGGUGUUUUUUAAGUUCUUUUUUUUUUAAAUACUAAAAGUUGCUUUUUGCUCUUCAAUUUUUCUGGUCUUGAAUAUAGUUGGCAGAGGGCUGAGAAGCUGUCGUUGGAAUUUAGCACCCCACGCUGCUCAUCUGAGCGUUUCAUGCUGCAUUCUUGCAAGCAACAAAUUAGUUGUACUUAGCUUGGCUACACUGCAGGGUACACCUGAAAUGCUGUUUCAAACUCGUGUGAUGCAUUAGCUUGUGCACAGGUACAUUUCCUACCAACUAAAAUUUGUGCAUUCUCUAAUGUGUCACUUAUUGAUUACUUAUCGGAAAUAUUACUAUUAUUAUUGCUAUUGAAAACAAAAGGAUUCUGUUGUGGGGGGGGGGAAGCUGUGAAUCAAAUCCAAUUGAGAUAGAGAAAACCAACGCAUUAGCUCUGUGUGCAUACUGAUGCAGCUUGCUUGCAGAGUGACAUAGCAGCAACUGUCUCUAAGAGGUGUCAUAGUCACCAUGGACCAUGUCUUGCUGCUGCGAUAUAAUUGUAAAAUAAUAGCUCUAAAUGGGGGUAUACAAUGCUCUCGUCGACUGAAGUGUCUCUGUCUAGAGGCAAUUUGUAAAUUUUGAAAUGUUCAGUUUCUUUGCCAGGUGUAAACUUUAUGCGGUAAAAAGGUUGGAGUAGGAAGUGCACGGCUCUGGUCAUCUGGCUAAUGGCUUCAGCUGGCUUGGGAAAUCAAUUAUUGCUCUUCUGCUGUUGGCUUCAUACCUUAUAUUGUACUCUUCUGCAGUACUUAGUAACUUGCUUGAUAACUUACCUUCUUUAGGUUGUCGCAGGAGGUUGUGGGUUUGAUUCCUGGUCGUGGUGGCCGCAUUUCAAUGGGGGCAAAAUGUAAAAGCAUGCAUGUACUUAGAUUUAGGUGCACAUCAAAGAACCUGCAGAUGGUCAAAAUUAAUCUGGAGCACUCCACUGAGGUGUCCUUCAUAACCCACGGUGCAGUUUUGGAACAUUCAGUUCCACAAUUUUUUUUUCUUUACGUUGUUUAGUGUGUAUCUCAUUUUGUGCUUUUUAGGUGGUGCAGUUUGAAGUGCAUUGAUCCAAGAUAUCUUACCAAGAGCAUUUUGAUGCAAUCCACCAUGGUGAAUACAGGACUAUUUCUAGUGCAUACUUAAAAGAGGCUGCAGGUGAGCUGGACCAUAAGUCUCUCUCCAGAUGUUCACAACAGCUUUAGAAGCAUGUGUCUCUACUAUUUUGACAAUGGAGAGUUAUUAUAGGCUAAUGUCCCAUUAUGAGGUGCGGUUACUGAUUUCUGACCAGGCUAUAUUUAUUUUUCUUAUGGGGAAAAUUUAUAUGUUGUAGAGACUUAAGGUUUUACUACUUUCUCUUGUUACUAGUUGAAAGGCACAUGUGUGGCACAAUACCACAGGCAUUUGUAGCAGAUUAAGCACCGGCAUACUUUCUUGUGACAUGUUUCUUGUGACAUUCAUGCAUUUCUGUUUUUAUUCUUUGUGUAUUGCAGCAUAUGUGGCUGUUUUGUAAGUACUAUCACAGUCUUUAAUACUUCUUUUCUUGUCAUGAAACUUAACCAUAAGGCUAUAGGUAAGCUUGGUAUGCUGUCCAAAGCAGUCAUGCCACAUUGUAACAUCAAUCAUAGGGCAGUUGCCAUUAUUUCGAGGCUACGUAGUGUGCACAUUCCCCAUGCAGCUGAUUGAGGACCUGUGUUACAGAAAACAUUGUGAAAAGUGGCGCAUAUGUAACUGCCAACCAAAAACAGUGCAAUUUGAAUUAAAGACAACCAAAUGCAUAGAAAACAGCUCUUUUAAGGAAAAGCACAGAUUGAAGAUGGCUUCCUUAUAACCAGCAACAUGCUCCCUUCUGUUUAAGGAGGAAGAUUGGGGACAAAGGGGGACAUUAUAAGGAGGAUAAUGAGAAAAAAAAAAUUAUGUAAAAAAAAUAGGACCAAGGUAUGUCAAGGUAUAUAAAUGGUGAUGAUGUAAAGGUAAGACCAAGAAUGGUGCAGAUGAAAAUAUUCUCGAGCUUGAUAUAUUUUGACGGACAAGUUAUGGGACCUAAUAUCCUUAUCUCAAGUGGAUUCAAGGAAAUUUAGUCCAUUCUUCUAAAAUAUCUAUUCGUGUCAUCGGGCAUUCCAAUGAAGUGUUGCACUUUUUCAACACACUGCACUUACCACAGUAAGGAUUGGUGGUUUGUCCAAGAUGGCAUAGGUCAAUGUGGCAUUCAGAUGAAGGGAAUGAUACAAUGUUUUACACUGACAAAGCCUUGAAUUUAUGGCCAGAUUAGUCAAGUGAAGGAAGCAAUGCCAAUAAAGCAUCUGAACAGGCAUAUUUUUUUGCCAUUAUCCAAAUUUGUUGAUAUAAAGAAGGCAGCUACAGUGACACGCAAAGCUCUCUAUAUAUGAAAAAUAUAUAUUAGAGAAUUCAAGACUGGACAUUUCAUUUGAAAUUUUAUUGUGAGAAUUAGAUUGACACUGUGUCUUAUGCAUUUUUAAUACUGCAUGGAAACUUGCAUCGAUUUCUGCAGGUCACAUUGUGCACAUGUUUUCAUGCAGCUGAUGAAAUCUUAUGUGAUGUGAUGUCUCUUGCUCUAAAUACUGCAAGGUGUAAAGUGCCGUUGACAGCAUUAUGGAGUUGUGCGCAUAUCUGAAUGCAAUUCUUUAAAUCUAGAAAUUGAGGUAAACUUCUGGAAAAAUGGCAGCACCGUUUCAGUUCAGUCCUUUUAACUGGCACAUUAAAUGGUUUGAGACAAAAGCAGCUCCUAGAGGCACUUUAUGCCUGAAGUUUCAUGAUCAGUAAAAAAGGUUAAACUUUGGUGCAGUCAUUGAGCAGCUUAAAAAUAUUAAGCAUUCCUAAUAUUAAGAAUGCUGAACAGAUUUAUCGAGGCAUACUUUGGCGCCUGUGUUAAUUCGGUUUUCAGUGCAGAUCUUUAGUCACCUGAAGUAGUUUUCCUUGUAGGGCUUCUGAUCGGGGCAAGAAGUUUGUUAGUUUAAUGUAAUCAUUGUAAAAAAGCCAUAUUUUCAUUGAGUGACAGACUGGUUCAGGCUUUUGUUUUCAUACCCGGCUACAAAAUACUUCCUGGUGGAUGGUCCAUGGCUUGCAGCAGUUGAAAACGAAAUGGUUUAUUUUUUUUUAUUCAUAGUUAUUAAUUUGUAUUGGCUCUUCUUUAGAGUAAUAGUUUCAAAUGAAGCAUGCACAUCCUUGUUCAUUGGUAAAGUAAAAAAUGGUGUACAGUGCAGUCCACUAUUUCUAUGUAGCACUGUACAAGUUAUAAGAUCCACCAACUUUUGCAUUGGCUUUGGUAAAUUGUAUAUUAUGGUAAAUUGAAUAUUAUGAUGUGUUUAUCUUAUACAGGAUGGAAUGAAAUCCUAGCUUUUGAGUUCCCCCCCCCCCUUUUUUUUCAAUAACAAACAUUCUAGUAAAAAUCUGCUGCGCAAGUGAUGCUUAUGUUGGUUGGAGUUACUGUAGCUCAUUUUGCCUCCCGGUGCACAGGCUGUUUGGCUCGUGAUUUAAUGAAGUUGCAGCUAUGCAGUUUUAUGCAACCUGAAUGGCUGCUGUCAGCUAGCACAAAUAUGCAAUGACUUGGUGCAGUGAUAAUGAUAAUUAGGCUCCACCUGCCACAGGACCAUGACCUCAUUUAAGGGUUCUUUAGUGGACUUGGUGCCCAUUGUAGUAUCUCCUGCCUAUUGUACUAUUUCAUUGUAGCUUAAGUGCGAAAACAGAUUUUACAUUUUAAUUUUUACUGCGUGAUUUCUUUUAUGUUGGAGUAUAAAUUCAUGUGAGUUAGGGACUACUCCCUUAAUUGGCAAACUCCUCUGGCAUCACACCUUGCUAAGAUUGUAGGAAAAAUGUGGUCUUAUACAAGUUUUUAAACAUUCAUUGGUGAAAUUCCUUCAUUCCAGUAAAUAUUCUUAGGGUCCUGGAGGAUAGUGACAAGAGGUGUGUUCAGUAAAAUAGGUCGAUGAAGCAGGGAGCGCUUGAUCACUUCAUAUACGUAGUGCCUGACCUCUUAAAGUGGGGAUGAAAGGGAAAGUUGGUACAAAUCGAAUGUAGCAUGAAGCUGUUGUUACUGUUUCCUUGGAAAGAAAGCUUUUUGUUGUAGUUUGGGAUCGAAUAUGGAACUACCACUUGACUGGGGUAGUCUCCUCAUCAACUGAGCUAACCAGGAAGAUGACAGUUGCCAGUAUGAAAGCAAAUUAAUUGGCAGCUCAAUGUGGUGGGAAUCUAGUUUAGCCAAACGAGUUUUGUAUAAAUUGACAAGGUGUGGGUAUGUUUUUAUGAAUCUACCUCUCUCUACCGGACUGGCUUCUGCAGCAUGCUUAGCUAUUGUGUGAUGGUGCUUGCUGCAAUAUACAGUAAAUCCUUGUCUUAUGGUACUCGUUUUAGUGGAAUUAUCGGUCUAGGUGAAGGAUGUUGCCUGACCAAAGUGCAUACCCUUUUGACUAGAUUAUUUCCAGUGAACUGGGGGCAGACUCCACUUUUAGUAAGGGUAGUAAUUAAGUAAAUGGGUGAAAAGGGGCAAGCCAAGAUUUUUUCAUGCCCCUACGUACACUUCUAUAUUUUUUGCAGACAUAUUGAAAUGCAGUGCAUCUUUAGGCCACAUUUUGAAGCAAGCUCUAAGCAUAGCCUGUGUUAAUUGUUGCCAUGUUUCUUUUUGAUGCAAUCAUAUGGAAUGUCAGAAUUACAUCAAGUGAUGUAAUUAAAUGUGGCUGUGCCAAACCAGAGGUUGCCAAAGUAAUUGUUAUUAUGGUAUUAGCUGUAUGUAAGAAAAUAACUUGGGCAGAUAUUCUGAGUCACCAAACAGUUCAGCAAGAAAUAAAGAAAUGCAUGUGCACUCUUGUGCCACAUGUUCAGUGUGCAUAAGCAAGGCAGUAAAUCAGGCCAGUUGGUCUGUCAUAUUGGGAAUCUGAGUAGUGCUAAACAUACAAGUACUGACGCAAGGUACAUCGUGUGCUGUACCAUGUGUCUGUCCUUUUAGCGCUACUCAGUUUCCCAGUUCAGUGUGUAAUUCAUUUUCAGAGGUGCUGGUUUGGUGAACCUAAGCACCAAGUAUACUUCGCAAGUUUGAAGUACUGCAGAGUAAGCAUUCAAAAUCGGCAGUGUACUGAAACUGGCUGUUGACCACCAUUGUUAAGUUAUGAAGAGCAGGCUGCCUACAUGGAGACCAGUGCAAGCAGAACCAGGAUAUGGUCUGGGCCAGAGAUUGCAAGUAAAUGUGGCAGAAAUCCAACAAAGCAUGCACCAUGGAGUUCGUUACUCUUUCCCGACAAUGGGGAAAUGCCUGUGGCUUUCGGUUAGUGUUUUUUUUUCUUUUUUUCUGGGCCAACUGAUCUGUUUAGAAUGUAAUGGCACACAUAGAAGUCAAGCUAAAUUGGCUUUUGAAUUAUGUACAUUUGAAGGCGGAAUUUCGAUUGUGAAUGCAACAUUUAUUUUGUUAAACAAAAUUUUUAAAUAAUUCAUUCAAGCCAGGCAAGGAUAGCAUGCCUUUAGCUCGCGGAAUAAGGAAAUCUGCAGACUUCAGUGAUUGCUUUGGCAAUGUUCUUCUGAGAGCAGCAGGCUAUCGCAGUGGACACCACCAUCUUCUCAGGAAUAGCUUCUUUGCAAUGCAUACAACAUUGUCAUCAUUCACUACAGUACUGCUUGUUGUGGCUUCUGAAAUAAAUGCACAGAUGACACUGCUCUCAUAGUCGGUGUGGGGCAAAAACUUAAUUGCGAUGUGCACAAUGUCGUUCUUUACCACAGUAUUCACUGUUAUGAACUCUGAAAUACGUGCGCAGACAUCACCACUCUCAGAUUCUAUGUGGGGUGCUAAAGCCCAAACAAAAUAUGAAGCACCAAAGCCACGCAAUAGAGAUGUUUAGCUCCCAAAUGCACAUAGCUGCAGAGGCACGUGUUCAAAUCUCAAUGGCACUGGUGGGCAAAGUUUUGUUUUUCUUCACCCUAUGGCAAGUGAAGCUAAGGAUGAGGAGAUAGUCAAAAGACGACACAGGGACAACAGCUGUUGUCAUCGGCGCAAUGGAAAGGAUCAACAGUCAUAUGGGCACAGAAAACCCUUUUUCUAGCUUUUAACUGUUGUUGCACUAAAAUAGUCAAGAAGAAUUUAGAAGUGUUCCCUAUUUUGUGAACACAUGUUAUGAAAAAAAAAAUGACUAAUGUUCUAAUCACAUUUUUUGAGCUACCAAAAAUUGUCAACUCUCAUGAUUGAUGUGCCAUUCCAGAAAGCAGUUCCACAGUGUGCUGAAGGAUAGGCAUGGCAGUUUUUGCAAGCAAAAAUGUAUUCUACUUGGUUGUUAUGAUAGCACUUUAAUUUCUUCAUUUGUCCAUCCCCAGCUAGCCAUGGCUGUCAGCAGUAACGACAUGGCUUCAGAUUUGCACACAACUUAAAAGUUACUGGAAUAGUUACGUAGAUAUGAAAUAUGUAGUCUUAAUGCUUACGAUGAGAUAGUGCAGUAAGGCUGGCAGUUACGUGGGAGCUUUAAUAUGGAUCUCCGCACCCAUCAAUCACUGGUGAUGGACGCUCUAUAGUUUCGGUCUGGAAAGAGUUGAUAGCAUUCUAGUGGUUGCUGCUGCAUACCUCUUGCUGGUGCUGUAUGUGGCAAAGUGUAUACGUUCAGGAUCCCAUUUAUAUUUUCAAAAGCUGUGCGAUCAUAAGGUGCACUGUGGUUAAGCACAGCACAAAGACAUAGAGUGAAGAGGGGAGUUGUGCCUAUUCAGCAAAGUGGGAAAAGUCUCAGUAGUAUGUGAAUGAACCCAUCUUACACUGCACUUUUGUUGCGUGACAGUGUAGCGAACCCUUGAAUUUUAAACAUGCAAAAAAGAAGUGUGCUCCCUUUAAGAAGUGUGCCCCCUUUAAGGUGCCACUAAGGCACUUCAGUAGAAACCAGCUUUAAGGCACUUGAUUUUUCAAAAUGAUUGACUAUUAUAUAUCUAUAUGUUGGCACUAACAGGGAUCUAUUCAGGGUUAGCACAGUUUAGGCAGUGUUUUAGUGUAUCCUCAUUGUUAUGAGAACUGUUCUUAAAUGCCUCUGCUUUUUUUGGCCGCCGCUUAGAACAAAGCUCUUUGGUUGUGUCAAUGGCUUCUUUAUCAUCGGGUUCAGUGUAUGAUGAUGAUAGGUUGUGUCAAUGGCUUCAUUAUCAUGAGGGUUCAGGGUAUGAUGAUGAUUAGUUACAAUAAAACAUUUUGCUAUUUGAAGAUCAUUCUAAGUGGAUUACACUUUAAAUUAUUAAUGAACUGAGAGAAAAAUUAGAGAUAUAGUGUUGCAUGUUGUGAACUUGUGCAUCGAGUACUAUAUAGAGUUUUUACUUAUAAUAAAACGUUUGUCUAACCUGACAAAUGCUGCUUUAUGUAUACAGUGUGUAUACAGGGUUGGGUGAUUCUGUCAUAAUUGAUGAAAAACUCAUUUACAUCAAAUAAUUGUUUUUAUACAAAGCUGGCCCAGUUAAGCUUUGGAUAGAAUCCAAGUAACUGACUGAUUGGACAAAAGUAAUGGUUCUCUUUUACAUUUUAUCGAUGCAGUGACAGCUGUGCAGUGAAUGCUAUACAUCUGUAAUCAUUCUCAGCAUUGAUUCAUUCAGAGCUUGUGCGUUAUUUGUGUUAGUGCUGCCAAGGUCCUUCUUUGGUUAUUUUAUAUUUUGCAUGGAAUAAAGUGUCUUGAUAAGAGCAGUUAUUGUAAAGGCCAUUUUAGAGCGCCUCACCAGGUUUGCAAUGUUUGAAAGGAUUAACUCUUAAAAACGGACUGCAGUUUGAACAUGGGAAAGCACUCCUUUUUAACACAGUGUUCAUGCUUCUGUGCUAGGACAGCUACUGUUUACAUUGUAACCACUGUGUAUUGCAAUGCUUUGAAAACUUGUUCGGGCAGCUAGAUGAGGUGGUCCUGAAGUGUUAUUUCCUGAAGCGUUGUGUGUCUGGUGGCUGUGUACAUGGGUAUAGCCCACCUAAGCAGCUGUGUCAUACAUGACGGUUAAAAAAAAACAAACUUAAAAGUGGCAUUGCCCAGACCCAUAGUUUUGUUAAGCACUUAAUCCACUGUGUAUGACUGUAGUAGUCAUUUAGAGCUGUUUCUUUCUCGUCCUACACAUCAAUGCAAUCUGCACUAUCAGAGAAAGGCUUGUGCACUGUGGUUAACAACAUGAACUGAAUUCUUUUGGAACAUACAGAAUUGAAUUUAAUGAUGGUACACGGUGUGCAUUUAUGUGUGUUCAAUGCAGCACACCACAUUUUUGCUGUUCUUCCAGGCCAAUAUUAAUUUUUUUUUCAUGGCUGGCAUUUGUAAACUUUUUUCUUCUCUCUGAUAGUAUGCUAAAAUUUUAGGUGCAAGAUGUAUACCACAUUUUUGUAAUUUAAACAUUUGGGAUUGUGCUUAACAAAGUAUUGGAAAAAAAAAAAAAAACUAAUGCUGCAAUGUGAAAGGGCUGAAAGUUACAAGCUACCUGCAUACUGCUACAGCUCAUAGGCUCCUGUUUGUAACCUACACCAUUCAGUGUGUUGUACAUUCUUGCAAAAGUCAAAAUACCAUGACUUGUUAUAAGGGUGUGCCAGUUCCUGUGCAUCAUUUGCCUACACAGACAUCUGGCUUUAGUCUUGCUGCUGCAAAGGGCUAUAACUGUAGCUUCAGCAUGCAUGAACUGGCAUGCUCUGUGAAAAAGAACCAUGUCAUUUACACUUCUGCGACAAACCGUACAUUCAUUGACAGCUGGGAACAGUAAUGAAAGUGAAGGUCUAUUGUUUCAAGCUAGCCACUUGUGAUUGGAAAACUUAAGCAUGCCUUUAGCUGCUUCAGCUGCUUGGAUUGCAUUCCAGGCCUCAUGAAUGAAUUUAUGUAUGAUAAAACUUUGCUCCUAAAUGAAGAAUAUGCUUUAACUUGUUGCAUCUACAUUCAUGCUUUUCAAAUUAUGUGUAUGUAGCACACAAAUACAUUUGUGCCAUUAAGCUAGGAACUGCUGCAACUGCAUUAACUGCUGUUGGCAGUUUACUUAGAGGAUUUAUUUGUGUGCAUAUCCAGCUUUUCAAAGGAAUGUGUGCCUUUUCUUUUGUUUCCUAUGCUUAGCUAAUGCUGAUCCUGUUGCACAUCAUAUGCCCAAGUGAUUGAUUGCCACACUACCUGUGCUUUUGUUAUCCAUCUGCAUGUCUUGCUGUAUGCUGCAAAAGGACACUGUGAUACUAUUUAUUAAAUAUUGAAAGUUUACUUCUCA